rnacentral:rRNA from 1 species
AUUGAACGCUGGCGGCAUGCCUUACACAUGCAAGUCGAACGGUAACGCGGGGCAACCUGGCGACGAGUGGCGAACGGGUGAGUAAUGCAUCGGAACGUGCCCAGAAGUGGGGGAUAGCCCGGCGAAAGCCGGAUUAAUACCGCAUGAGACCUGAGGGUGAAAGCGGGGGAUCGCAAGACCUCGCGCUUUUGGAGCGGCCGAUGUCAGAUUAGCUAGUUGGUGGGGUAAAGGCCUACCAAGGCGACGAUCUGUAGCUGGUCUGAGAGGGCGACCAGCCACACUGGGACUGAGACACGGCCCAGACUCCUACGGGAGGCAGCAGUGGGGAAUUUUGGACAAUGGGCGCAAGCCUGAUCCAGCCAUGCCGCGUGCGGGAAGAAGGCCUUCGGGUUGUAAACCGCUUUUGUCAGGGAAGAAACGCUCUGGGCUAAUACCCUGGGGUAAUGACGGUACCUGAAGAAUAAGCACCGGCUAACUACGUG